UCGAUUGUAAAAACCUAAAAAUUCUAUUCAUCACAGAAACAGGUGUAACAAAAGUCAUUAGCAGUUUUCAAAAAAUGUUUUCCUUCAUGGAAACAUUGUUCUAUAAUUUUAAGAAUGAAUCUUUCUUUUUCUAAGAAAAAUAUACCAGAAGACUAUUAGAAAUGCAUUAAAAGUAUUUGAAUCUUACACAAGAACAGUGAGUAGGUAAGAGAUGAAGCAGCAGAUGUUAAACGUACUCGUUUGACUAGCGUUUAAAUAUAAGUAAUGUAAGUAACGGUUAGAACAAAAAGACCGUAUAAUGUAAGAGUAUUCAACGGACAUCAUUUGCCGCUACUGUAGUCGUUUGAAAUAUUAACCGCUUGCUAAAUAACAUCCCUCAAUCUCCGAGCACUUCGAAGGUAUCUCUAUAUGCAUAUAUGAGUAUACCAAUUACAUACACGACAUAUAUAGUCAAUAGUUGGGCAUAAGAAUUAACCAUAAACAUACUAACAUCCCCCAUCUCAACAUCUAUGUGUAUUUCCUAGCAAGAUACAGCAAUAUGUCUUCUUGCUUCCUUCAACUUUGUCGACCCUCUUACUGUAAUUAAUCAAGAUGCUCCUCUCCGUAUCUAACUUUACCCACGGUAGACAUUUACACGCAAGCAUCCGUGACCUGACAAUCAGCAUACACAGCAGAACAAAAGACUUAUCUUGGACAACUCAUCCAAUUUUCACUUAAUCAUUCUUAAUAUCUAAAUUAUUAUCUAAUAUACUCACACAAAGGAGGAGAAGAUUAUUUUGGGCACGUUUUUUGUUCAAAGUCAGUUGAUAGUUGCUGAAACUUAAUUUGAGCUGUCCAUUAUUUUUAUGACUGGAAAACUGACUGGUUUUAAUCCAAAACUUUGGCUGAAACUCUUGAUUUUGAUGAUUGCUUUUCAUUUCAAAGAUAUCACCAUUAUAUUGGGAAGUUUCUACAUUCAAACUCGAGACUUUUCUCUAUGGCUUGGCCCGAACUUGGACAUGAAGGGAGAAUAAUGGCCUCUAUACUCGUGGCUCCAGGAAAACAGAAACGAGUGUUUAUCGAGCCGUAUAUUUGUUUUCAAUAGUCUACUGAAGAUCCUUGGAGAUUCAAUUCUACAUAAAUGAUUAAUCAUCACAAGUCUUUAUUAUUUCCAUCUACAUACUGAUUAUAAACAAUGUAUCACAAUAAACUGCGGAAAAGAGCAUUUUUGAACAAGUGUAUGUCUUCAUAAUAGUUUGCUCGCGUGUCAGACUUGCCAUGCAUCCAGGGUAUGAUGAAAACUCACGCGGACUCAUUAAAAUGACAAGAUAAUUUCACGACAAGUUUAUCACGCUACGCAUAUCAGUUCAAAAGAUAAGGAGGUAUAAGAACGUUAACUAGAAUGGACGAUCAACUGUAUUAUCUAUUAAAGACUUGUCCCCUCUUCUACUGGAAUAUGAAAUUAUCAACUCAUUUCAAGUAAUGGGACAUAUCAAGUAAUAUGUGCAUGACAUGAUAGAUGAUAAUAACAAUGUAGUAUUGACAACAAAAAUACACUUUAAAAGUUUAUAGAAUAAUAUUUUGAUGAUAAAUAUGCUAUUAUACGCCAUAAUCUUAUGAUACUUGAAGCCAUCAGUAAAA